CCUACGGGAGGCAGCAGUGGGGAAUAUUGCACAAUGGGGGAAACCCUGAUGCAGCGACGCCGCGUGAGCGAUGAAGUAUUUCGGUAUGUAAAGCUCUAUCAGCAGGGAAGAAAAUGACGGUACCUGACUAAGAAGCCCCGGCUAACUACGUGCCAGCAGCCGCGGUAAUACGUAGGGGGCAAGCGUUAUCCGGAUUUACUGGGUGUAAAGGGAGCGUAGACGGCGGUGCAAGCCAGAUGUGAAAGCCCGGGGCUCAACCCCGGGACUGCAUUUGGAACUGUGCUGCUAGAGUGUCGGAGAGGCAGGCGGAAUUCCUAGUGUAGCGGUGAAAUGCAUAGAUAUCGCGCAGAACUCCGAUUGCGAAGGCAGCGUACCGGCGCCAGACUGACGCUGAGGCACGAAAGCGUGGGGAUCGAACAGGAUUAGAUACCCUGGUAGUC
rnacentral:rRNA from 1 species